rnacentral:rRNA from 1 species
AUUAGAGUUUGAUCAUGGCUCAGGAUGAUCGCUGGCGGCAUGCCUAAUACAUGCAAGUCGAACGAGAGACCUUCGGGUCUCUAGUGGCGAACGGGUGAGUAACACGUAGGGAACCUGCCCGCGCACCGGGAAUACGCUCUGGAAACGGAGAACAAAUCCCGAUGUACAGGAAGGAGGCAUCUUCUUUCUGUGAAACAUCCUUUCGGGGAUGGGGCGCGGAUGGACCUGCGGUGCAUUAGUUGGUUGGCGGGGUAAAGGCCCACCAAGACGAUGAUGCAUAGCCGGCCUGAGAGGGCGGACGGCCACAUUGGGACUGAGACACGGCCCAGACUCCUGCGGGAGGCAGCAGUAGGGAAUUUUCGUCAAUGGGCGCAAGCCUGAACGAGCGAUGCCGCGUGAGUGAAGAAGGCCUUCGGGUCGUAAAGCUCUGUUGCGGGGGAAAAAAGGCAGCAUCAGGAAAUGGGUGCUGACUGAUGGUGCCCCGCCAGAAAGUCACGGCUAACUACGUGCCAGCAGCCGCGGUAAUACGUAGGUGGCGAGCGUUAUCCGGAAUGAUUGGGCGUAAAGGGUGCGCAGGCGGUCCUGCAAGUCUGGAGUGAAACGCAUGAGCUCAACUCAUGCAUGGCUUUGGAAACUGGAGGACUGGAGAGCAGGAGAGGGCGGUGGAACUCCAUGUGUAGCGGUAAAAUGCGUAGAUAUA